rnacentral:rRNA from 7 species
UUUCUUUGCGCCGACCUCAGAGCAGGUG